rnacentral:rRNA from 1 species
UACGUAGGGUGCAAGCGUUGUCCGGAAUUAUUGGGCGUAAAGAGCUCGUAGGCGGUCUGUCGCGUCUGCUGUGAAAACUCAGGGCUUAACCCUGAGCUUGCAGUGGGUACGGGCAGACUAGAGUGCGGUAGGGGAGACUGGAAUUCCUGGUGUAGCGGUGAAAUGCGCAGACUAUCAGGAGGAACACCGGUGGCGAAGGCGGGUCUCUGGGCCGUAACUGACGC